AGAGUUUGAUCCUGGCUCAGGAUGAACGCUGGCGGCGUGCUUUAUAUAUGCAAGUCAAGGGGGACUCGCAAGAGUCAACCGGCGGACGGGUGAGUAAUAUGUAGGAAUCUGCCUCGAAGUUGGACAUAGCUUGCCGAAAGGUGAGGUAAUUUCCAAUGUGAACGUAAGUUUAAAGAUUUAUCGCUUCGAGAUGAGCCUACAUUCUAUCAGCUAGUUGGUGGGGUAAUGGCCUACCAAGGCUACGACGGAUAGCUGGUCUGAGAGGAUGAUCAGCCACAAUGGCACUGAGACACGGGCCAUACAUCUACGGAUGGCGCAGUAGGGAAUUGUUGACAAUGGGCGAAAGCCUGAUCACGCGACGCCGCGUGGAGGAUGAAGGCCCUCGGGUCGUAAACUCCUUUUAUCUGGGAAGAUUAUGACGGUACCAGAAGAAUAAGCACUUGCUAACUACGUGCCAGAAGCCUCGGUAAUACGUAGGGUGCAAGCAUUAUCCGGAUUUAUUGGGCGUAAAGAGUUGCGUAGGCGGUUAGACGCAUUCUGCUUGAAAGCCCGUGGCUCAACCACGGUUUUGGGCAGAAGAUGGUUUAGCUUGAAGAAAAGUGAGGGUGCUGGAACUGAUAGUGAAGCAGUGAAAUGCGUUGAUAUUAUCGGGAACACCAAAGGCGUAGGCAGGCACCUACCUUUUUUCUUGACGCUGAGGCACGAAAGCUAGGGUAGCGAAGCAGAUUAGAGACCUGCGUAGUCCUAGCCGUAAACGAUGGAUGCUAGUUACUCGUUCAGUUGUACUGAGUGAGCGACGAAGUUAACACAUUAAGCAUCCCGCCUGGGGAGUACGAGCGCAAGCUUAAAACUCAAAGGAAUUGACGGGGACCCGCACAAGCAGUGGAGCGUGUGGUUUAAUUCGAUACAAAACGAAAAACCUCACCAGGACUUGACAUGUAACUGCAAAUCCUAAGAAACUAGGACUCCUUCGAGGGUGUUACACAGAUGCUGCAUGGCUGUCGUCAGCUCGUGGCGUGAGCUGUACCCUUAAGUGGGACAACGAGCGCAACCCGCACCUUAUGUUAAAUAAUCCAUGAGGAACAGCCCGACUAUUAGUCGGGAGGAAGGCGCGGAUGACGUCAAGUCAGCACGGUUCUUACGUCCUGGGCUACACACACACUACAAUGGCGAACAACAACGAGCUGCAAACCGGUAACGGCAAGCUAAUCUCUCAAAUUUCGCCUCAGUUCAGAUUGAGGGCUGCAAUUCGCCCUCAUGAAGUUGGAAUUGCUAGUAAUCGCGGAUCAGCACGCCGCGGUGAAUACGUUCUCGGGUCUUGUACACACCGCCCGUCAAGCGAGCAAAGUUAGGGGCACCCGAA
rnacentral:rRNA from 1 species